UAACGAGAGAGCCGACGAGAGAGAGCCAGAGAAUUCUGGAAACUUUCAUCUCUGUCCUUAUCCGUUCUAGCAUGUCCACCGACUUGGGUAUAUAAUCACCAUGAUCGACAGAUGCUAAGGGUCCAUGUGUCGUCUUCUCCGUCUUGUUUCACAGCGUUCACUAUUGUUGCUGCUGCAUUCGUGGGUGUGGCUAUGGCUGUGGGGGCAUCGAAAUUCUUCCUUCCAUGCUUCACAUCACCACUGUCAUCUCCCCUGUUUUGCGUCACAAAUCGCUCAACUCAGCUAGUCGUCUAACUUGUAUGUUCGUCGCCGUCGCUGCUGGAGUUCUGUCCGUUCAUCAUUACAGGUGGUUCCGGUAAUUAGAGUAGCCAAAAGGCAACUAAGAGAUGUUCAAAAGGAGCGAAUUUUCAUCUUGCUAGCUUUUCAGAUUUGUUAACGGGCGCUGAUCCUAUUGUUGACAUUUAAAAGGGCGAAAAAUUGAUUUGGGUGGUGGCAUUUCACUUAGCAUUAUCUCCUUUUGACAUAAACAUUUGAACUGAUGUAUUUUAUUUUGAAAGUAAGGUUAGUUAGCUCCACAUAGCCUAUAGCUAAAUUUCUAUUAUGGUAUAUGUCGUUUGCUGGUUGGAAGGAGUUGAGUUCCUGAUUAAUAUUAUAUUUUGUGUAAAAUAUUGACAGAAAUUUUUUUUUUUGAAAGAUCCUAAUUACUAGGAAGAUUCUAUUGAAAUUUCAAUACAGAUUCAACUAUGUUUUAAAAAAAAGAAAAGAAAAAAAAGGAGAAGAUUUCUCAAUUUAGGGCUUAAGGGAUGUGUGAUAUGAUCCACAUCCUGUGCCGGUCAACCUCUGUUUUUGGGGUGUGACAAAGAUUUAUAAGGGCAGAUGCAAUAUGAAUUAUCUCUGAAAUGAAUCAAUUACAUCACUUGUAGUUUUUUCUGAACCAUUAACUGCCGGAGUGGGGGCAUAUGCAGGAGGCCUUGAUACAGUCAGAUUUGCACCAUCGUUGCCAUAAAAUCGGUGUUGAGCUCGCUGUCAGUGUCAUCAGAUCUUGCAAUGUAGCCACUAACAGCUCACGGAAGCCUUUUUGCUCAUUGCUGAGCAUGUCCGCACCAGAUUGUGUAAAUACAUGUUUUCUGUCCAAGGUAGAGAAGAUUGA